rnacentral:lncRNA from 1 species
AAACCCACAACCAACCAACAACAACCACACACACACACACACACACACAGCAUGCUGGUGUCCCGUCCGCUCAGGAAGUUGUGUUUGUACGUCCAUUUUAGGAAAUGGGAUUCAGCUGGGCGCAGAGCUCGGAGGCCCUGAAAACACACGGCACGUUAGAGGAAGCUGUUGAAGCGCUGUUUGCUGGUGAAGACAGUAAUCCGGGGUCCUGCAGACGCCGGGGCCAGUUGGGUCAACACGGAGCAGCCGGUGGUGCAGGAAGAGAAGAAGAAGAAGAAGAAGAAGAAGAAGAAGAAGACGACGAUGAGGGCGAGUGGAUCGUCCGUCAAACUAGCCGUCCCAGAAUGCAACAGGUCAAAGAGUUUGAUGCUUUUGGCCACAGCAGAUCGAAAUCUCCGUCACCGACGCCUCAUUCAAGGAAUUCUGUGAAACCGGACCUUUUCUCCGUCUGGGUCGGAUCCUUGGCUCCUGCUGUCACGUACUCAACGCUGCACGAGCUGUUCAGCAGGUGAAGUCCCACAUCGGAGCUCCGUCACGUCUUUUAGCACUUUGUCAGAAUCACAUGUCACAUCAUAACGUUUUUAAUUCUUAUUAUCAGUUACAACAACCCUUACAGGAACAGCAUUCUAAUAAUAAACACCUCUGAUCAAAAACAAAAAGCUUUACAUUUUAUUAUCCUGGGAACUGUUUCACAGAACAUACCGAGUGUGUGGUGUUGUGGUGUGUGUGUGUGUGUGUGUGUGUAAGCACUUUACUUUUGUAUUAUUUCCUUUUAUGAGUUUAGUCAGUUAAGUCAUUAACAAGUCAUUAAAGAUGACAUAAAGGUUUAAAAGCGCUUCUAAAUUGUGAUGUUUUCAUGCCAUAAA